CCUACGGGAGGCAGCAGUGGGGAAUAUUGGACAAUGGGCGAAAGCCUGAUCCAGCAAUUCCGCGUGUGUGAAGAAGGCCUUCGGGUUGUAAAGCACUUUAGUGGGGGAAGAAACAGCUUGGCCACACCAAGCCUUGACGGUACCCCAAGAAUAAGCACCGGCUAACUCUGUGCCAGCAGCCGCGGUAAUACAGAGGGUGCAAGCGUUAAUCGGAUUUACUGGGCGUAAAGGGUGCGUAGGUGGCUAUUUAAGUCGGAUGUGAAAGCCCGGGGCUCAACCUCGGAAUUGCAUUCGAUACUGAGUGGCUAGAGUUCGGUAGAGGGCGGCGGAAUUUCCGGUGUAGCGGUGAAAUGCGUAGAUAUCGGAAGGAACAUCAAUGGCGAAGGCAGCCGCCUGGGCCUGGACUGACACUGAGGCGCGAAAGCGUGGGUAGCAAACAGGAUUAGAUACCCUGGUAGUCCACGCCGUAAACGAUGAGAACUUGACGUUGGUUCGUUUUACGAAUCGGUGUCGCNGCUACGACGAUAAGUUACUCCGUCCGUCGGGGUAGGUACGGGCCGGCCGAGGUUAGGUAAACGUAACGAACGGAAAGUUAGUACGGCGUGAGACGUGCCGACGGACGACGACGAGGGAGGUAGG
rnacentral:rRNA from 1 species